ensembl:snRNA U5 U5 spliceosomal RNA
AUACUCUGGUUUCUCUUCUGGACAAACAAAUCUUUUACCUUUCAGUAAAGAUUUCCAUGGAGAGGAGCAGUUAUGAGUUGGUAACCAAAUUUUUUGAGAUCUUGCUCAGGCAAGGCU